CCGGGUGAGUAAUACAUCGGAACGUGUCUUCUAGUGGGGGAUAACUGCCCGAAAGGGCAGCUAAUACCGCAUGAGACCUGAGGGUGGAAAGCGGGGGAUCGCAAGACCUCGCGCUGGAAGAGCGGCCGAUGUCCGAUUAGCUAGUUGGUGAGGUAAAGGCUCACCAAGGCGACGAUCGGUAGCUGGUCUGAGAGGACGACCAGCCACACUGGGACUGAGACACGGCCCAG
rnacentral:rRNA from 1 species